rnacentral:rRNA from 1 species
AGAAUCUUGGAGAGGCGGGUGGAAUUCCGAGUGUAGAGGUGAAAUUGUAGAUAUUCGGAAGAACACCAGGGAAGGCGGCCCGCUGGCAAGUAAAAAAAAAGGUGCGAAAGCGUGGGGAGCAAACAGGAUUAGAUACCCUGGUAGUCCACGCCGUAAACGAUGAUAACUAGCUGUCCGGGCACAUGGUGCUUGGGUGGCGCAGCUAACGCAUUAAGUUAUCCGCCUGGGGAGUACGGUCGCAAGAUUAAAACUCAAAGGAAUUGACGGGGGCCUGCACAAGCGGUGGGAAGUGGUUUAAUUCGAAGCAACGCGCAGAACCUUUU